CAGCCGCCGCGGUAAUACGGGGGGGGCAAGUGUUAUUCGGAAUGACUGGGCGUAAAGGGCACGUAGGCGGUGGAAAGGGUGGAAAGUGAAAGUCGCCAAAACACUGGCGGGGUGCUUUCUUGACCAUUUCACUUGAGUGAGAUAGGGGAGAGUGGAAUUUCGUGUGGAGGGAUCAAAUCCUAAGAUAUACGAAGGAACGCCAACCGCGAAGGCAGCUCUCUGGGUCCCCACUGACGCUGGGGUGCGAAAGCAUGGGGAGAAAACAGGAUCAGAUACCCCCGUAGUCCCUGUCUCUUAUACA
rnacentral:rRNA from 1 species